GGCUUUGCUACUUUGACAAUGGAGCAUUGAAAUGCAGGACACUUCCCUUCAUUCACUUGAGGAAGCAGAUCUGGUGACACAGAAGGAUCGGGACGGGACUGCCGUGCUGAGUCCUCUUCCUCCCAGGCACAUCCUAAUACACCUCAGUUUUCAGGGACUCAGAUACUCGGUGACACAGAUGGCCAGCGGAGUUUUCAGCCUCUCAGUCCAUAGACUAUUUAUCUGGUGGAUUCCUGCGGGGCCUGAGCUGAGCCUGGACUGAAAGUAUCCACUUGGACAAUCUGUUCUCUAGACUAAACAUAAAACCUCUUCUCACCCCGUCAGUUCUCCUGUUUGACCGUCCGAUGCCCAAAUCGGCCUUCUACAGUGGUGCGGCAGCACCCAGAGAAACCACGUCUCACGCAAAAGGAUUCCAGCAAUCAGUUCUUGUCGUUUAUUUUCAAAAGAACCAUCUCCAAGUGAUACUGUUACACUGUCUGUCCUGCCUGUGUCAGAGCUGGAUUCGUGUGAAGGUUGCGAGCAGACAACACUAACCUGCUCUGGAAUCCUGUUCUGGAGAACAUUCUCAGUUAUCUGUACUUCCUCACUGUGUGAUGCUGUCAAUCAUAUGUACCACGCAUCUCCAAAUGUUAAUAAAGAACUAGAAGAGGUUUUUGUAGAUGA
rnacentral:lncRNA from 1 species